rnacentral:rRNA from 1 species
GAUGAACGCUGGCGGCGUGCCUAAUACAUGCAAGUCGAGCGAACGGACGAGAAGCUUGCUUUUCUGAUGUUAGCGGCGGACGGGUGAGUAACACGUGGAUAACCUACCUAUAAGACUGGGAUAACUUCGGGAAACCGGAGCUAAUACCGGAUAAUAUUUUGAACCGCAUGGUUCAAAAGUGAAAGACGGUCUUGCUGUCACUUAUAGAUGGAUCCGCGCUGCAUUAGCUAGUUGGUAAGGUAACGGCUUACCAAGGCAACGAUGAAUAGCCGACCUGAGAGGGUGAUCGGCCACACUGGAACUGAGACAUGGUCCAGACUCCUACGGGAGGCAGCAGUAGGGAAUCUUCCGCAAUGGGCGAAAGCCUGACGGAGCAACGCCGCGUGAGUGAUGAAGGUCUUCGGAUCGUAAAACUCUGUUAUUAGGGAAGAACAUAUGUGUAAGUAACUGUGCACAUCUUGACGGUACCUAAUCAGAAAGCCACGGCUAACUACGUG